GCAGCAGUAAACGUAGAGAUGUAUCGUCAGCUCUGCUAGGCAAGAGUAAACUUAGAGAUGGCUUUCCAAAUGACACUAGUCCCUAUAUAGUGUGCUACUUUUGACCAGGGCCCUAGUCCCUAUAUAGUGCACUACUUUUGACUAGGGCCCAUAGGGACUUCUGAAAUCCGCCUGUCAUAGCUGAUACUGAAGUCAGUUAUUUAAGUGCAGCUGUGAUUCAGCCCGACUCAGAAUAAGGAAUUCAUUAUUACAUAAACACAUACUAUCUUUAAUGCCCUGCUUGUCUCAGAAUUAGUCAGUCAGAUACUUGCAAAAAGCACUUAAAACACAGAUUACAAUUACAGUGAGGAUUUUAAAUAAUUCUCAUUAAGCCUAGAUGCCCUCAAAAACUGAACUAAGUCGCAGCUUAUAGCCUAACACUCAUUGCACAAACAGUGCCAGUUAAAGAUACAAAAAGAAAAAUAACUGUAGCUAGCCCACAAAACACUUUCAAAUCCUCCUGGGGUCCAACAACCUGUUCAUCGGAGGAUUUGAAAGUGUCAUGUAAUGGAACUGUUAACUAGGUCACAGGAUGUAGGAAUGUUGCAGAGGUCCAUGUGUCACUGAGGAGGGUUGACUGCCCAACAAUAAAAGGUGUCAGAGGCCGCUUGUAGUUGUGUAUCUGCUGGGUCUUCUGUGAUGUGCUGUAUCAUUCACAUCUCCUGUUGAUGUKUGAUGCCAGCAGCUCCAGGGAGGAAGGUGAAACUAGUCCACAGGGCUCCUGCUUAUUUCUGUUAAAGCUGCGGUCAUAUUAUUACUGCUGCCCCUAGAGGGGCAUCCAGGAGCUCCUAUUCCACCUCAGCAAGCUGCAGCGGGAUGGAAGGAAGGACGGACGGAGGAGACGGACGGAGGAGACCGACGGAGGAGACCGACGUAUGUACGGACGGUUGGAGACGAGGGAUACAGUCUGCAGUGGGAGGGAGGGAAGGACGGAGGAGACCAACGUAUGUACGGACGGUUGGAGACGAGGGAUACAGUCUGCAGUGGGAUGGAGGGAGGGAAGGACGGAGGAGACCGACGGAGGAGACCGACGUAUGUACGGACGGUCGGAGACGAGGGAUACAGUCUGCAGUGGGAUGGAGGGAGGGAAGGACGGACGGAGGAGACCGACGUAUGUACAGACAGUCGGAGAUGAGGGAUACAGUCUGCAGUAGCCAUGAUGCACAUCACACCUCCAUCCCCACCACUUGCAGCUCUGCCACGAGCCUGGCUGAUGAAAUAUUACCAUGGCGUUUUAAGGGGAAUGUUCCCACGGUGUCAAUGAGUACUCAGUGUUUCAAUGGCAUCCCGUGUCAACAAAUCCUAAAUCAAACGCUGCUUUGGGGUUCUCACAACGAGGAGGAUUUUCUACAUGGCAGCUAGUGUGCUUUAUUAGACAGCGGUAACCUAAUGUAGCAGGCGUAAAAUAAACACCUGAUCCCCUACAUACUGGUACCGACAAAUAAAAUAAAAUAAUAUAUAUAUAUAUUGUAACUGCUGAGAGGUUAUCUUCUGCACUGUUCAACCAAUCUAGUAAAAUGUGGAGGAGUUCAGAUGGACGGAAGUCGCUGGCUGUCUUUUCUAUUUCCCCUGAACAGCAGAACAUCUAGUUGUUGUGGACUGGGCGGAGCCUAGACGGUGGUGGUGUUGGCUCCCCCUCCUCUAAUAGGCUGGUGUACUACGUUCUCUCCUUCUCUUCUCUGUGAAUCAGCGCAGGCUCUCUGUAUGUCACCACCAAGACUCACUAGCGGGCCAGUUUAAAGACCCCGUCCCAGCAAACCAGGCUGCUAGUUUGAGUGCAGUAAAAUGUUUUUUUUUGCUCAAACUUUUACCAAGGAUAUUGUUUUUCUGAUUAAAAAUCAGACAAUAGCCUAUAUGCUAACCUAGCUUCAGCAUAUCUGUCAUUCUGCAUGCAACCCACUAGCCUGUGGUUACAUUUACUGUAUAGUGAGAGAGAAAAAAACAACCCUGAACCUUCUGGGGGGCAUUGAUGCCUCUGCAAUGUUUAUUUCUCAGUGUGUGUGUGUGUGUAUGUAUAUAUAUAUUAGUCGUGAGAUGCGAGAACAGUAGCAACAGUGAUGAGCUCCAAUGGGAUUUGCAGGAAAGCCAUGCAUUGCAAUCAGGAGGCCCAUUGCUUCAUCACAGCAAAUAGAACACAACGUUCUAAAGCCGUGCUUGACUUCACAUCAUGCCAAUCACACAUGCAGUCAACUGUAUUUUCCCCAUCAUCAAAAAGAGAAUAUUUCCAUGUGACCCAGAUCAGACAUCCUGAGCCCAGACUGAGCCCAGAAAUAACUCCCUGCAACUCUCCCAUCUCUGACCGUGGAGGAGCGCCAGAUUCAAUCCAACCUGCCGUGCCACUGUUUAUACUGCCRGUCUACAAACUAGCUGGGUCCCGCAGGAAGGCGCACACAUUAUUUUACCAAAAACUGUGGGUAUCAGUACCUGUAGGAAGAGUACCUGGUAUUUCCACAGUAACCAAAACCCUUCUGUGAAUGUAUUUUGACCAUGGGGGGGAAAAGCUAGUUCUAUGUUUAGGCUACACACUAUUGCAUAAAUACUGCAAUGCGGGUUCAACUGAAUGGAGUCAGGUAGAAGGUUGUGUAUUAACUUCCCGAAGUCAGCAUUUACUGUCUGUCUGCUACACAUGCACACAAGGUGUCAACUGGAAGAACACUUUAGUUUCAGUAUUACCCCUUCAAUGACCCUGCUAGAAAUGGACCUGUUGGUGACAAAUCCAGAGCUGUUGCUGGCCCACGUCUCUUACUGAGACACUUGAAGUCAACCACAGCCUGCUAGCCUGUCCCUGCCACAAUACCUCUCCUUGUCGUCUCCAGCGUGUUUCCAUAUCAGGCUUCGGUCUCAAAAAUAGCCAUUCUAACACAGCCCUGUCUAAGGGGACUGUUGACAUUAAACUCUAAAGAACAGGCCUAGUUGAAUGUAGGCGGUCUGAAGAGGCAGUGGGAUUUUCAGUAUUUGCAUCUGGUCUUAGCCUAAGUAUUGUCAAUCAAUAACCUUGAGAAUUGUGCAAAUAUCCCCAGUCAGACAGACAAUCAUUCAGUGUGCCAGCAAGGUAUGUGGACCUGUCCUUUAACACUGAAAUAGGAUACGGUGCUGCCGUAUUGUGAAGCUCCUUAUCAAUGCUUAUUCAAGUAGAGCAGUGGUUCCAACUCCGGUCCUCCAGUACCCCCACAGAACACAUUGUAGCCCUGGACAAACUCACCUGAUUCAACUCAUUGAGGGCCUGAUGAUUCGUUGACAAGUUGAAUCAGGUGUGCUUGUCCGGGGCUACAAUAACAAAUGUGUACUAUUGGGGGUACUGGAGGACCGGGGUUGGGAAUAACCCUCAAAUAUUUUCCGGUCCUGAGCAAAUUUCAGGUCUUCUGAGCGCAAACUUGAACAUUGUGAAAAUUCUGUGCAACUUCCAGCACGUGUUAACUGUGACACUGAGGCUGUCUCCGCUUUAAGUUACAGUUCUAACAGUGGCCAAGUAGGCUGCUGUGGUCAUGUGAUCAUAAUGUAGGCCUAUGAGAGUGGCCUACCAUCAGAAACCAUGGAGAAAGUGUAUCCCAUUACAUUUUUACAUGGAAAUAGCUGUUCUAUCAUUCAGCCUACAGUAGUAGCCAAUGUGUGGUGUUCAAUGUAGACCUACAUUCCAUGAGGCUUUUGAAAAAAACAUGACGGGCUUGAUAUUAACCUGUUUAUCCUUCAGAGAAAGGAGGUGACUGAAAAUGUAGUUUGUUGCAAGUAACCAGUUUACAAAAUAAAAUGCAUUAUUAUUCCCAUACCAUUAUUACAGAGAAUCAGACAAAUGAUGCUACCCUCUGCCUAUUGGUUACUUAGCUUAUUCAAGCAUGUCUCAAAAUUCAACUAUGCCCCCGAGUGGCGCAGCAGUCUAAGGCACUGCAUCUCAGUGCUAGAUGUGUCACUACAGACACUGGUUCGAUUCCAGCUGUAUCACAACUGGCCGUGAUUGAGAGUCCCAUAGGGUAGCACACAAUUGGCACAGCGUCGUCCGGGUUAGGCCGUCAUUGUAAAUAAGAAAUUUGUUCUUAACUGACUUGCCUAGUUAAAUAAAAUAGACAAAAUAAAAGAAUAACUCUUUAAAUCCGACUUGUUUUUAAAGAUGUCUAGAAAUGUACACGUUCUGUGCUCUUGUAGGAAGCAAAUCACUCCCCUAUUGCAGACUACAAAUUCUCUCUAACUGGGCUAAUAACUCACUAACUAGCAAAAGAUAUGAACAAAAUGUGCACACGUGGCUACAUGCAGCUCUUGCUUUGAUCUCAAAACAAGCACAUCUACUCACGACAACAGUCGUAAAAACAGAUCCAUAUAUGGCAAUGGUCUAUUUGCAUAUAGGCCUACUGCAGAUGUGAUUAUGUCACACCGGUCUGUGUAGAGUACAAGCGGAGUUGUGCCCAAUAGAAUCCUACCUACAACAAAAUCUCUUGAAUACUUUGUUUUGUUGCAUUGAAAGUGGCUAAUAUUGGCUGAUUCAAAUCACAUUAAAGGGAAACGUUGAUUGCCACAGUCAAGGGAAACGUUGAUUGCCACAGUCAAGGGAAACGUUGAUUGCCACAGUCAAGGGAAACGUUGAUUGCCACAGUCAAGGGAAACGUUGAUUGCCACAGUCAAGGGAAAUGUUGAUUGCCACAGUCAAGGGAAACGUUGAUUGCCACAGUCAAGGGAAACGUUGAUUGCCACAGUCAAGGGAAAUGUUGACAGUGUUAACAGUAGAAGAGAAACAUUGAUAGCAUUAACAGGGAAAACUCUAGAGAGUUGAGUGAAGUUCAAUCUCGUGCUUGUCACUGUGGGCCGAUAUGUCUUCAGCGCGCUCUGACUGCUGCGUGCACACUCACAGCUUACAGGGAACAUUGGUUGGGAACCACUGAAGUAGAACACCAACACAUUCUCCUCGGUGCUCACAACUCAACUUGUUUAUCUCAGGGUCAUAUGUGCAUGCAGAGAGACAGGAUUGCAAAACGUGAUGUGACAUCUUUUAAAAAUGUAGAAAUGAAAUAGGCUGAGUUCCAUGGGGUGUUUCCCCCUCUCCUUACAUGUCUCUGAAAUAAGCAAAUGAUCCCAUUGCCAACCCUCCAGCACCGUACAUACAUGGUGACCGGGAUUGUCAGAACACGUCAGAGUCAGAGCUUUGAGGCAGACUAGUAGUAAUCUUCACAAGAUACUAGAGGUCGACCGAUUAAUCGGAAUGACCGAUUAAUUAGGGCCGAUUUCAAGUUUCUAACAAUCGGAAUCGGUGUUCAACUGAUCUGUUACCCCACACACAUAAUUAUCUGUAAGGUCCCUCAGUUGAGUAGUGCAUUUCAAAACACAGAUUCGACCAAAGACCCCCCCCCCCCCCCCCCCCCCCCCCCCCCCCCCCCCCCCCCCCCCCCCCCCCCCCCCCCCCCCCCCCCCCCCCCCCCCCCCCCCCCCCCUCCCCCCCCCCCCCCCCCCCCAGUUCUCGCAAAUGGCACUAUUGGUAGAUGGGUAAAAAGGCAGACAUUGAAUAUCCAUUUGAGCAUGGUGAAGUUAUUAAUUACACUGUAGAUGGUGUAUCAAUACACCCAGUCACUACAAAGACACAGGCGUCCUUCCUAACAGAGAAGCCAGCAGAGGAAGGAAACCCCUUAGGGUUUUCACAAUGAGGCCAGUAGUGAUUUUAAAACAUUAACAGAUGGCUGUGAAUGGUAGAACACUGAGGAUAGAUCAACAACAUUGUAUUUACUCCACAAUACUAACCAAAAUGAUUGAGUGAAAAGGAUGAAGUCUGUUCAGAAUAAAAAGCAUCCAGUUUGCAAAAAGGCACUAAACAAGUAAUAAUGCAAAACAUUUGCCAAAAGGAAUGUACUUUUUGUUUUGAAUACAACAUGUUGUUUGGGGCAAAUCCAACAACACAUUCCUGAUUAUUACUCUCUAUAUAUUUCAAACAUGGUGGUGGCUGCAUCAUGUUAUGAGUAUGAUUGUCAUUGGCAAGGACUCUCGAUUUUUCAGGAAUAAAACCCUGCAGAAUGAAACUAACCACAGGCAAAAUCCUAGAGGAACACCUGAUUCAGACUG
rnacentral:lncRNA from 1 species